rnacentral:rRNA from 1 species
CCUACGGGAGGCUGCAGUCGAGAAUCAUUCACAAUGGGGGAAACCCUGAUGGUGCGACGCCGCGUGGGGGAAUGAAGGUCUUCGGAUUGUACACCCCUGUCAUGUGGGAGCAAAUUAAAAAGAUAGUACCACAAGAAGAAGAGACGGCUAACUCUGCGCCAGCAGCCGCGGUAAUACAGAGGUCUACAGCGUUGUUCGGAAUCACUGGGCGUAAAGCGUGCGUAGGCUGUUUCGUAAGUCGUGUGUGAAAGGCGCGGGCUCAACCCGCGGACGGCACAUGAUACUGCGAGACUAGAGUACAGGAGGGGGAACCGGAAUUCUCGGUGUAGCAGUGAAAUGCGUAGAUAUCGAGAGGAACACUCGUGGCGAAGGCGGGUUCCUGGACAUUAACUGACGCUGAGGCACGAAGGCCAGGGGAGCGAAAGGGAUUAGAUACCCGGGUAGUC